rnacentral:misc_RNA from 1 species
GCCAGGUCAUCUAUACUGCAUUUUUUGCUACACAGCAGCAUUCUCGCUUUGGCUCUUUCAUCACAAUUCUUUCCGUACAGUACCGAUGCACCUAAAAGAGUUAUAUUCCAGCAUACUAUCCGAAAUGCAGGUGCCAGUAAAAUUAUGGAAACUACCUAUGAUUUUGCCGUCGUUGACUCCAACACUCUGCCUUUCGUUUUCAAGCAUGCCCCUGAAGUGGCCAACACACUGCACAUUAAUACAG